UACAGAGGUCUCAAGCGUUGUUCGGAUUUAUUGGGCGUAAAGGGUGCGUAGGUGGCUCGCUACGUCGGGUGUGAAAUUUCGGAGCUUAACUCCGAAACUGCAUUCGAUACUGGCGUGCUUGAGGACUGGAGAGGAGACCGGAAUUCAUGGUGUAGCAGUGAAAUGCGUAGAGAUCAUGAGGAAGACCAGUGGCGAAGGCGGGUCUCUGGACAGUACCUGACACUGAGACACGAAGGCCAGGGGAGCAAACGGG
rnacentral:rRNA from 1 species